rnacentral:rRNA from 1 species
CGAGGGGCAGCGGGAAGGUUAGCUUGCUAACCUUUGCCGGCGACCGGCGCACGGGUGAGUAACACGUAUGCAACCUGUCCGGUACAGGGGGAUAAGCGGCGGAAACGCCGUCUAAUACCGCGUGACAACCCGAGGGGGCAUCCCCUUGCGUUCAAAGGAGAGAUCCGGUACCGGCUGGGCAUGCGGCGCAUUAGCUAGUUGGCGGGGCAACGGCCCACCAAGGCGACGAUGCGUAGGGGUUCUGAGAGGAAGGUCCCCCACACUGGAACUGAGGCACGGUCCAGACUCCUACGGGAGGCAGCAGUGAGGAAUAUUGGUCAAUGGGCGCAAGCCUGAACCAGCCAAGUCGCGUGAGGGAAGACGGCCCUACGGGUUGUAAACCUCUUUUGCCGGGGAGCAAGCCUGAGCACGUGUGCCCAGGCGGAGAGUACCCGGAGAAAAAGCAUCGGCUAACUCCGUGCCAGCAGCCGCGGUAAUACGGAGGAUGCGAGCGUUAUCCGGAUUUAUUGGGUUUAAAGGGUGCGCAGGCGGGCUGUUAAGCCGGCGGUAAAAAUUCAGGGCUCAACCCUGUCGAGCCGUCGGAACUGGCAGUCUUGAGUGGGCGAGAAGUAUGCGGAAUGCGUGGUGUAGCGGUGAAAUGCAUAGAUAUCACGCAGAACGCCGAUUGCGAAGGCAGCAUACCGGCGCCCAACUGACGCUGAGGCACGAAAGCGUGGGGAU